rnacentral:tRNA from 1 species
GCUGUGGUGGUUCAGUUGUAGCAUGUUCACCUUCCACGUGGGAGACCUGGGUUCGAUUCCUGGCCAAGGCC